UAACAGCCUAAAAAGAGGAAAUGUUUAUUUUGGCUCAGUUUCAGCCAAGUCAGCUCCAGGGUGCUUGGCCCUUUGCUUUGGGGCUGGGAAAGAAGCACUAUGUCAUGGCGGAGGAGAGCUGCUCAUUUCACAGCAACUGGCAGUGGAGAGGCAAGGAAGGACCUGGGGUCCUGAUACACCCCAGUAACAUAACUUCCUCCGACAAAGACCCACUUCAGUUCCUACCUUCUUUAAGCUAAGGGCCAAGCCUUCAACAUAGAUUUGGGGUACAUUUAAGAUCCAAAUAGGACCAGCCACCACGAAGAAGGAUUUUAUAGGAGCAAUUAUAUGGAGAAUGUUAAGAGCUAACUACACCCUUUCUACACUAGAGAGGCAGGUAAUGCCGCAGAAAAGGGGGUGGGUUGAUAAAGUCCCACGCACAGGCAGCAAGCUCAGAGGAUUCAAAAGCACUUUAGAGGGACUUGCCCUCAAAGCCUGCUGCUCCCUCUCAUCCAGUGUCCACACAGAGCUGACCGCAUUUCCGGGUAGCCUGGCUGUCCAGGAGCCCCACCUCUGUCAGGUUUCACCAGAGCUCCUCUGGAGAACUACUUUGGCCAUCAUGGAGAUGACUUGCUGAAGAGACGGGCUGAUUAGGAGAUGACAUCUUCAAUCUGAGCUGAAGCUGUAGACGUGAAGUGCCCCAGAGAGCCGGGCUCCCCAAGAACUCCUUCCAGCAGCAACGACCACUUGGUUCUGUGGAGGACACAAGACAGACAGCACUAGUGAUAUUCCCUCCAUGAGGCAGACAUCAUACUGUGCUCUGAAGUGCACAGAAGAGCAAUGCCAGCCACACCCCACAACCACAACUUGAGUCUCUCCCCCUUUGUUCAGACACCACUUUGUCAGAUCUGAUAAGUUCCAAAACCACUGUUGUGCAAGUUGACCCCAGAACCUCACUGCAGUGCAUGUGACCACAUCAAGUGGCACCUCCUAAUACCCCAAGGUCAGUCAACAAGAGAAAAUUAAUCUUUUCAAUUGACGAAGUGGUAAUUUCUUCUCCUCCCUUAUUUAUGUAAUUACUAGUCACUAAAUGUGCUUUUACUUUGGCUAUAUUCUAAGUCUUCUUUCCAUUUCCUGGCCAAAUCAUGCUCCUCCCCUAAAGUUAACCUUCCUGGCUGCUUGCCAUCUCCCUGGUCUAACCAUCGCAGGGGCUAUUUCAAGAACCAUAAGUCCUGCAUGGACAGCCACUGUCUGUAUCCCUGGGUCACUGCACGCUGAUGUCAAAGGUCUUAGCUGCAUUCUAUCCUUCCAUCUGAGCUGUAAGCAGGAGACCGGCCGUGUCACUGUUCUGUCUUCUCCACUGUCCACUGAGGUACCUCAGUUAAUGUACUGCCGAGGCUCACCAGCUGACAUGGGCAGGCUUCCUCACGAAAGUCUCCAGGCUGCCACUUCUACCAGACUCACAUCCCAGGACAGAAGCCUGCCUUGAGGGUCCUACCUCAGGUCUCAGGGAAAGGCCACCGAGCUUUAAUGCUGUCUCAAUUGUGAGCUGGGAAAGUGAGGGUGUUAAUACUGGCUCGAGUGAACUGCAAUUAGGAAAGCUAACUUGUGGGGUUGUGCACUCCAGAGUUGACUGUAAAGUACUUCCAGAUGACCUUGACCACAACUACCCUUGCUCAGUGUUCUUGACAAUGUCUGAUUUUUUGAAAGUGCAUAAAAUUGUAAGUAAAAGUCAGGUGUAUCCUUAGAGAAUCCUUCCACAAGCUUAAUAACUGCUGGUUCUUGUAGCUAACCCUGAGCUUCUAUCAGGGUUGUCUGUGUCAGUGAGGACUGCUGGCCACCAGAGGGCAGCUUCACUCUGGGUCUGCCAAGCACUUCCCAAGCCUUUACAGAUUGCUGUCUUCACCAACAGGGCUUCCCUCACUAAGGACUCCUGCUCACAUUGCUCCACGGCAGUUGUCCUAUGCUGGUCUCAUAGACCUACAUGUGUCUUCAGGAGCAGUCACCAUCCUGUCUUUGUUUAAUAGCCUAGCACAGUUCUACAAUACCAGUCCUGAGGUGAACAAACACUGUAGUGGGUUAGUGUAGUUUCCUUUGUUUUGACACAGGGUCUCACUCUAACUCAAGCUAACUUGGAACUCUUAAGUCCCAGGCUGGCCUCAAAUUCCUACCUCAGAUUCCAAGUGCUGGGAUUACAGGCAUGAGUUGCCACACCUGCCUCUUUAGUAGUAUAUAUUAAGGUAAGUUUCUUAAAUCUAUAUUAAAAUGUAAUCUUAAUGAAUGGAUCCUUUAGGAGUCCCACUGCUGUUUCUUGCCUACAAGGAUAUUUGCAUAAUUAUAUAAAAAUACAGGUACAGUAAUAUUCACUACAGUACAAUCUGCAAUAGUAAAAAAAAAUGGAAAUAACAUAAAUAUGAGAAUGUAAUUAACUGAAUCAUGGAACAUCCAAAAAUAAAGUAUUGUAUAACUGUGGGAAGU
rnacentral:lncRNA from 1 species